AAUGAUGGAAUAGAUCUGUGGAAAUAUUCCCUUUUUGGAAUAUUGGAUGAUGAGACUGAAGACGACUAAUAAUACCUGCACUUAAAUGAUCCCAUUACUGUAUCUUGAAUCCUAAAUUAGAUCUUGCCUACUACCUCCUCUCCAGAAAUAGAAAACAUCAG